rnacentral:pre_miRNA from 1 species
AGUGAGAUAGCUGGGUCAAAUGGUGGUUCCAUUCCAAGUUUUCUAAGGAAUCUCCAUAGUGUUUUUCAGAUUUGUCAAACCAAUUUUCAGUCCCAUCAGUAAU